AAAUAUAAUCUGUUUAAACAUUGUUCAGCUUUAAAGUUACUGUGCAACUGUAAUAAAAAUGUGCUCACGACUUUGGCCUUGAGAGCGAUAAGAAGCGAUCGCCUCAUCCUGCAGGUGCAAGAUAUCUACACGCCGAAGAGGCUAGAUUUCCUUUUAUGGAGUUGUUUUUCUGCUAGUGCAGCACUUCCCCCUGUAAGUUUUAGAGAAUAUAUACCCAUCCUCACAGCAAAUCUUUGGAAUCUCCUGAUGUGAGCUGUUGUUGAGAGGUUGUCUCUGUCUCAAUAAAGUUCACUGAUUCCCCAUCUGCAGGUGUACGGUUGUCUUCAUUCUCCGCCAGCCUGGAUCCGGUCCAGGUCAACUGGAACGGACGGGAGGACAAUCGGCCGUGGUCUGAGUGAACAGAGUUUGGACAAAAAGUUGCGCGCACACAAAAACAAGGUAAGCAGACCUUUUAUUUCUGCUAUAUUGAACAUUAUAAAAUACUUAGUGUCCAAACUCCUAGUAAUUCAUAACCAAAAUUGUCUGGCUUACUUAAGGCUUGUUGAGAAUCAGACAAGUGAAUAAGAGAUAAGUGAAUAAGAAAUAAGUGAAUAAGUGAAUAAAGAUAAGAGUGAACUGAGGUCUGACCACGGUUGCAGCCGACGGGUUGCUCUCCGGUGUCGGAUACAUACCUCAGUGCAGGUCUGGGACCUUGAAAGGGUUUAUUAGUAACGCCUUUCUAAACAAUUAAAAGGUUAAAGGCCUUGAGAAUAUUUUUUAGUAAUAUUCUCUAAACUACAGAAGGGUUAGGAAGGCCCAGAGGACGUUAUUAGAAAAGAUCCUCUAAAACUUAAAAAGGAAAAGUACUGGUUGGAGUCCAAAGGAGGGGUCCCUUUGAUCAAUAGGAGAAAAACGGAUCUCUUCUUAAAACCCCGAUGAUUUUAGUGUUUUAAAUGUUUUGAUGUUCUGUUUGAUAUUUGACACACAUAAAUACACGCUGAAUGCUUGCUGUGGAACACUGGGCAGGACAGUUUGGUUCUCCGUUGUUCACAGAUUACACAAUUAAAGGAACUAGGUUCCUCUUUUGGUUAAAAUAAUACACCACACAUAGAAUUUUUUUUACACAUUUAUUACAUACAUAAGGAGGGUAAUGAGUGACUGCAGGUAAUGUAUGAAGUGUGAAUGAGACGUGUGAACAAGGUGACAACCAACUAGCACCCCUAUCAGGAAGCAAUAGGCAAGGUUACCCGCCAGACUCCGGUUUGGUAGAAGCUUGGUAACACCUGAAGGGAUAUUUCAGUGCUGACUCACCUUUAAAGCAGCGCCCCAGCUGUUAGUGCCUAACAGAGGCAGAAACCCAGCUGGCCCAAAUUCUCCUUUAAAAUCAAUAAAACAGCUGAAAAAGUAUGAAAGAAAUGUUGGGUUUGAGUCCCUGGAUAUUGAGUUGAAGGCUCAGGUAGUUUGGUAGGGAAAUUAGGACAGAAACUGUUCCCAGAAGUAACAGAUACUGUUUGAUUGAUUA